UACGUAGGUGGCAAGCGUUGUCCGGAUUUAUUGGGUUUAAAGGGUGCGUAGGCGGUCCUAUAAGUCAGUGCUGAAAUAUCCCGGCUUAACCGGGAGGGUGGCAUUGAUACUGUAGGACUUGAGUAAAGUUGAGGUUGGCGGAAUUGACGGUGUAGCGGUGAAAUGCUUAGAUAUCGUCAAGAACACCUAUUGCGAAGGCAGCUAACUAAGCUUUAACUGACGCUGAGGCACGAAAGUGUGGGGAGCAAACAGG
rnacentral:rRNA from 1 species